UUCUGGUUCUGGUCCUGCUGUGCUGCUCCGCCGCUCCGGGACACGCCGAGAGGGUGUGUCACUGCAGCGGAAAGUCUCUAUGUCACUGUGAGGGGGUCAAAGGACAAAAGGGUGAACCUGGCUAUCUUGGAUAUGACGGACUUCCUGGAGUGAUUGGUUACCCUGGAUAUGAGGGUCACCAGGGCUCACUUGGAGAAAAGGGUGAGCAAGGACAAGCAGGAGGUUCAGGACUGAAAGGCUCUCG